GAGCGGGAGUUUGGUGGACGUUUGAUACUUCAGAAACGUUCAAUCGCCCCGAUAAAAAUAGUUUUUAUUAAUUGUUUUCUCCAAAAUGCGGUCUCGUUUGUAUUGUAGGGCGCUCUCAAGGUGAUGUCAUGUUGAACCACAUUCUUUUGGGGAUAAUAUUGAUCGCUACAAACCCCCAGCAUGAAUGCCCCGGGUCCAACCGCAAAGAAGAAAAGCUACCUUGGGCAGCACCAAAUAAAAAAGGCCACGAGCGUUCAACACGCCAACGAGCCCUUAAACAGAGACGACAUGAUGAAACAUGCUGUCAAAGCAGACCGAUCAGAAGCGUCAAACGAAGGCAGAAAUGUGGGUGUGAAAGAAGGUUCACAACUAGGACAAUCCACAUUAGCAUUGGAUGAGGAAAUGCUGAUGGCGGCAGAUGUCAUUGAUCCCCGCAAUACAACAGCCGGCAACGUUUGUCGCACAACUGUCAUCUCAGAUGAAUCAAACUCAACCAAUGGCAAGUUGGCACAUGACAGAGCUUGGAAGAGAAAUGUGAAAAACACAUCACUGAGAGAAGACUGCAAAGACCUUGCUCAGCGUCUACUUUUCAGCGAAGAUUCAGAGGCAGGUCAGACCAAGUACCCAUCAGUGCUACAGUCUAGCAAUGGGCAGCCAAGUAAGGAAGUGAAAAACACACAGCAAUCAGAAAACUGGGAGACAUCUGAAUUGAGAAGAAAGGACCCUCGAUGCGUCAAAAAUAGAAAUGAAAAUCGUCUUCAAAAUACAUCGAAAGACUACAUCUUAUUCAGUCCUACGCGCCUUGCAGAAGCUUUGAAGAAGGCCAAGCUCCAACAGUCAUUGCAGAAUCACUCGGCAUCAGUGCUUACUGUCCCCAGUGGUUUAGACGUCAGCACGCUAGCAGACACUUUACCUCAGCCAGGAAUGGCUCUUCACGCUCCUGUUGAUCAGACUGACAAGCUCCUGUUGUCCAACUGGGGCCUACCAAGUCCUGUUUUUGAGUGCUACCGAAAGCACAAAGUGACUCACAUGUUUGAGUGGCAGGCUCAGUGUCUUGCUGUUGGAAAGGUUCUACAGGGAGGGAAUUUGGUGUACUCUGCCCCUACAAGUGCUGGAAAAACUCUGGUGUCGGAGCUGCUGAUGCUGAAGCGGGUGUUGGAAACUAAAAGAAAGGCUCUCUUCAUUCUUCCAUUUGUUUCUGUGGCCAAAGAGAAAAUGCUUUACCUUCAGAGCGUGUUUGAAGAAGCUGGUGUGCGUGUGGAGGGAUAUAUGGGAAGCACCUCUGCUGCUGGAGGAUUUGCUGCGCUGGACAUUGCGGUUUGCACCAUCGAAAAGGCCAAUUCCCUCAUCAACAGGCUGAUCGAAGAGGAAAAUAUGGCAACAUUGGGUAUGGUCGUGGUUGAUGAGUUGCAUAUGGUUGGAGAUUCUGGAAGAGGAUACCUGCUUGAACUUCUCCUAACCAAAAUCCGCUACAUUGCACUGAAACAGACCACUGGGUCUCUCUCUGAGGGUGUGCAGAUAGUAGGUAUGAGUGCCACCUUGCCGAACCUUUCCCUGCUGGCCUGCUGGUUAGAUGCUGAGCUUUACCAGACUGACUACAGACCUGUACCCUUGCAGGAGCAUCUCAAGGUCGGCAGCGAAAUCUAUGACAACAGCCUGUCUGUGGUGCGACAGUUCACGCCUCCACUACAAGUAAAGGGUGAUGAUGACCACAUUGUCAGUCUGUGCUAUGAGACAGUGAUAGAAGGACAUUCUGUCUUACUGUUCUGUCCUUCGAAGAACUGGUGUGAGAAACUAGCUGACAGCAUUGCACGAGAAUUCUACAACUUGAAACGCACAAGCGUACAUGGCGAAUCAGGGCUCCAGCCAGUGUCUCUGGAUCAGGAUGGGCUCGUGGAUGUCCUCGCACAGUUGAGCCGAACUCCUGCCGGAUUAGAUCCGAUUCUGCAGCGUGCCGUGCCCUGGGGUGUGGCCUUCCAUCAUGCUGGUCUUACUUUUGAUGAGCGUGACGUGUUGGAGGGAGCAUUUCGUCAGGGGAUGGUGAAGGUCCUCGCUGCCACCUCCACACUGUCCUCUGGUGUUAACCUUCCCGCUCGCAGGGUCAUCAUUCGAACACCAACUUUUAAUGGGCACCUGUUGGAUCCGCUGACAUACAAACAGAUGGCUGGACGAGCCGGCAGGAAAGGAGUCGACACAACAGGUGAAAGUGUUUUGGUCUGCAAACCGGCAGAGCGCCAGAAAGGAAUGAAGCUACUCAGCGGAACUCUUCAACCAAUCAGCAGUUGCUUAGUGAGACGAGAAGGAGAGGGUGUGUCUACCAGCAUGCUGCGAGCGAUAUUAGAGAUCAUUGUCGGAGGUGUUGCCAGCAGACCAGAGGAUGUGAGGUUGUACGCCGCCUGCUCUUUAUUGGCUGCCAGCAUGAAAGCGACUGGCAAAGAAGAGACCAACAAGGGAGCUAUCGAGGCUUGUGUGGAAUGGUUGAUGGACAAUGAAUUCAUCAGCAUUGAAAAAAAUGAGCAAGAGGAGCGUUACUGUCCCACUCUCCUUGGUGCUGCCACUCUCUCCUCCUCUCUAUCCCCGCCGGAGGCCCUUGAAAUAUUCGCAGACCUCCAGCGAGCGAUGAAAGGAUUUGUCUUGGAAAACGACCUGCACAUUCUUUUUCUGAUCACCCCGCUGUAUGCUGAGUGGACAACCAUUGACUGGUAUCAGUUCUUCUGCCUGUGGGAGCAGCUGCCGUCCUCCAUGAAGCGAGUGGCGGAGCUGGUUGGUGUUCAGGAGGGCUUUCUGGCUCGGUCAGUCAGUGGCAAACUUGUCGCCAAGACAGAAAAGCAGCGAAGACAAAUGGCCAUUCAUAAACGGUUCUUUACAACACUUGUGCUGCAGGAUCUGGUGAACGAGGUGCCUUUAGGAAAUGUAGCGUCCAAGUACAAGUGCAAUCGUGGACAGUUGCAGUCUCUCCAGCAGUCAGCUGCUACAUAUGCAGGAAUGGUGACCGUGUUCUGCAGACGUCUGGGCUGGAACAACAUGGAGCUGCUGUUGUCCCAGUACCAGACAAGGCUCAGCUUUGGGGUCCAGAAAGAGCUGGUAGACCUCGUCCGGGUGUCCCUCCUGAGUGCAGCGAGAGCUAGAGCGCUGUACGCCCAAGGGCUGUGCACUGUUGCUGAGCUCGCCCGUGCAUCAGUUGAUGAUGUGGAGAAAGCCUUGAGGAACGCUGUGCCUUUUAAGAGCUCGAAGCGUGCCGUGGAUGAGUGUGAGACAGAAGCUGCAGAGCGACGGAAUCUCCGCUGUGUUUGGGUCGCCGGCGGAAGGGCUCUGACUGAGCGGGAAGCAGCUGUUGAGAUUGUGUCAGAGGCGAGACUCCUUCUCCAGGAAGACCUUGCUCAGCUCGGAGUUCACUGGAACCCGACAAUGUUCCCUCAAGGGCUGAUUGACGUCAACUGUGCGGGCGGAAAUCUGUGCAAAGACACGUCUUCUCGUCCAGAUUUGAGCUUGGAGCAAACAAAGACGGCAUGUAGUCAGAACCAGCCAGAGAGAGACGUGGCAACACACAUUCAGGAGAAGCAUGAGGCAGACUGUAAAGUAGAAGACCCCAAAGAGAGGAAUAAAGCUGAGGGAGCGAACAGACUGGAGCGGCUCACUCAAGAAGUUGGUGAAAAUACGCAGUUGGUGGGCAAAUGUCUUCGAGGAAUCGUAGUAAAUAGUAGAAACCCAACUGAAGAGAUGGAAGGCAUCACAGCCUCCUCUGUGGAACCUGGAACCUCCAAUGUUGACAAAAUAAGUGCUGAGGAUCUGGAAGUAGCAAGCAAACGUUCGACUCAUCCUGAAGCAAACUCAUCUAAAAAUCCCAGUAGAAGCUUGACCCAGGAGCUGGCUGAGAUUGUAUCAAGCCCUUUGUCCUACCCCCAGCUACCACCUGAACACGGUUUGACCCCAAGGCCUCCGCCACCUUGGUUUAGAGGCCCAAUUUCAAGGGCAGAACAAACUGUUGUCUCACCCAGAGAGACCAUACAGCUAGAGGUUGGAGGUUCACCUGUGCUGCCGGGCAAACUGAAACACUCAAGAAUACUCCGCAAAGUUCUCAACUCUAUUAGAACUGACUCCACUUCGGAAAGCUCUCGUCCUCCUGGUCCUACGGAGGAAGCUGCUUUUUCUGUGCCUCACGCUGAAGUGGCUGCGACUCCUGUCCUGGAAAAUCACCCCAGAGUUUCCACACCUGCUAAUGCAAACUUGGUUAAUGCCUCCCCUUCAUCCUUCCCUUCACUGUCCCCAGAGGCCAAACGGCGACGUAUAGAGAGCAGAGGUGUGGACACAUUCUCUUCUCCCGAUUUGUACUCGGGUGAUGAAAAAGAUGUGCAAGAAGGGGAGAAGAAGAAAGAGGAAACGUUUGGUGACAGCUUUGAAUUGGACACACAGACUGAAAACAUCAUUGUGAAACCAGCUUCUGAGCCCAGAAAUGAAAGCUGCAAUCUUAUAGUGGGGUCAGAAAGUAGACAAGGGGGCCAGUUAGUGGGCGAUUUUAAGCCGGUCGAGGAUGAGACAGUUCUCGAAAAUGCAAAUAAUCCUCAGCUCAAAUUCAACAUUUCUUUAACUGACAGUCAGAUGGAGCAUAUCCUUGACAUCAGCCACCAGAGUUCUGCAGGCCAUGCACUCAGUUCUGCUGACGGAAAUGAAAAUGCCGGUGGCUGUGAUGAUGAUGGUGAUGAUAAUGAGGGGGUGGGUGGUGAAAACGUGAACAGAAGUAGCAGCUUCCUGUUUGACAGCCUGUAUGACAGCGCCCUGCUUGCUGGGCUGAACUCAUGCCAAGACUCAUGCCCACCAGAUCUGGAAGACUCCAGUGGGUCUCCUCUUGUCAACGUUCAGGCACAACAGCGCAGUGAAAUACUUAUGAACCAGGAGGCAGAAGAACUUGAAGCGAUCCAGUGGGGAGAGUCUUCCUUCAACCUGUCUGAGUGGGGGGACACUCUGCUGGUGGGCCGCCACUUCUUGGAGAAGAAAAGUCAUCUUAUGGAGGAGCAGACGAGCCAUCGGGAGGAGCUUGGCAUUAUUACAGAUGUCCUUGAAGAACCGCUAAAUUCUCAUGGAGACCCUGCUCAUAUUGAGCCAGCCCUUUCAUCAGUUACUUCAAUGUUGGUUAAAUGUGACUCAAGAGACAAUUUCAAUGUAAGUCAAGGUAAUUCAGAGGCUCAAAGCGAUGGAAAGCCAGGUGUUGAUGCUGAGAAGAACUUGGUGAAGGACUCUCCACUUAUUGACAAGUUAACGGACGGCUUGUGCUGCAGUCCUGGCCUGCAAGAAAUCUUCGAUCGGUGGCCAAGCAUGUCUGAUCAGAACUGGCAAACGGGCCAUGCAGACACUGGGUCAGUUCCCACACUCGGAACCAACCUCUCAGAUAAGCCCAGCUCCACUGAGAAUGUGGAAAAUGAUAAAGCAGACUUGGCUGCCGACUUGAUUCCCCCGACGCAACAAACCCCUCCUGUGACACCGAGGAUAAAACUGACCACCUCGUCUGUCCAGUCUCCCCUCACUGCUCAGCGGGACAGUCGGACCACUCCCUGCCGUCUGGUGUCCGUGGCAAAUCAACUGGCUUCAGAAAAAUUCAUCCAGACGCACAAACGUGGGCAAGAUGCAAAACCCCAGCCUGAAUCUGAGCAUGUCAACAAAGCAAAGCCUGCAUCACUGUCAACAACACAACAUGACAACCAGGAAGACCACUCCUCUCCACAGACUCACGAAGACUUCAGUCUGCAGCUUUCCCAAGACGCGUCUCCGUGUUCUGGCUACCCUGGAGCCUUCAGCAUCAUCGACGUGGCCAGUGACAGACGCCUGUUUGACACUUUUAUAAAUGAGUGGAAAACUAAAGAACGAUUCUCAUUGGCUUUGGCUUGUGAGAAGAAGGAGGCCAAACAGGAUCCUGUGGCUGAAAGAUCAGGAAAACAGAAGCGUGCAGCUUCUAAAGCCCAUCAGGUGCUGCACAGAGCGGACGGUUUCCCAAUAAGGAGCAGUGAUGGAGCCGUGCUGGUCGGCCUGUCUGUCUGCUGGGGAGGCCGAGACGCUUACUUCAUCUCUCUGCAGGAGGAGCAGAGCAAAGGGUUGAGCUCCAGUCUGGCUCCUCCUGCCCUGGAUGAAGACUUGUCAGUGAGGGAGAGGCUGGAGAAGGUCAAGUCGUGUCUCAGCAGAACGUCAUCCAGCCGUGCUGAUGGAGUGGUCAUCACAUACGACAUUAUCAAGGUGUACAAGAUGCUAAUUCUCAGCUGUGGCGUCAGUUUGGAGGGACAUUGUGAAGAUCCAAAGGUGGCGUGCUGGCUGGUGGACCCCAGUAGUGAAGAGAGAACUCUCGCCAACAUGGUGACUGUUUAUUGCCCUGAAGAGCUCCCCCUGGUGGAGGGGCUUGGUAAUGGUAGUGUGUACUGUCCCAGAGUGAGAGCAGCCACCACCAGUGUUCUCGUGCUCGCCGUCAUGAACCAUCUGUCUGGUCUGCUGGAGAAAGUCAGCAUUCUGGACUUCUUCAGGAACGUUGAGAUGCCUUCUCAGGUGUGCUUGGCACUGCUGGAACUGAACGGCGUGGGCUUCAGUGUGGAGGAAUGUGAAAGGCAAAAACAUGUGAUGCAAGCCAAACUCUCAGCGCUGGAGUCACAGGCCUACGACCUUGCAGGACACAGCUUCUCUCUAACAAGCAUCGAUGACAUCGCCCAAGUCUUGUUCCUCGAGCUUCACCUGCCACCUAACGGAGAGAUCGGAGGCUCAAAGAGUAAGAAGACACUUGGUUACACCCGGAGAGGAGGUGGCAGGGUUCGACUGGGAAAGCAGUUCAGCACUACCAAGGAUGUUCUGGAGAAGCUCAGGCCGCUCCAUCCUUUGCCAGGGGUGAUUCUGGAGUGGAGGCGGAUCACCUGCGCCCUCACCAAAGUGGUGUUUCCACUGCAGAGAGAGAAGAAAUACCACCCCACACUUGGCAUGGACAGAAUUUACCCCAUCGCCCAGACGCACACCGCUACAGGGAGGGUCAGUUUCACGGAACCAAACAUCCAAAAUGUCCCCAAAGACUUUGAGAUUUUCAUGCCCACCGAGGUUGGAGAGAGCCCCCCCUCGCAAGACGGCCACGGCAUGGAUGCCAAACACAUGCAAGGCUGCAGAGGUGAGAUGAGAAGGCGCUGGCUUGGCCUAACCUCACCCUACCAGGCACCAUCACUUUUGAAUCAUCUUGCUGCUGACCCGUGCUUCAGAAGUUAACAUCAUUGCGACUGCUUUCUGAAGUGAAGAGUGGAUCUCACUCGUUGGCCUUGAACUUAUCUGGCAAAACGUUAAGGAUAGAACCGGAGCAAAGACUGGCUAUCGCAUUGAGGUACUUCAACUCUGACAGGGACUACUGGGGACUUAUUUGGCUACUGGCUUGGUCACACGGCAGUACUAACUUCACAUGGUGCAUAAUACACAACACGAUACAAUUAUUAAUAAAGACUACAUUAGAAGUGUUUUGUAUCGAUGUCAAAACAAUUGUAAUUGAAAAUAAAAUGUGCCAAAAAUAUCUUGCUGGGCCGCUUCUUGUCUGCCCCUGGUGUGAAAGUCAGACCCAGCGUAGCCAUGGCGAUAAGGUCAUGAACACCCACAAGCGAGUUUCCUGGUCUUAUAAACGUAAAUGCAUUUUUUUCUCCUUUUUUAUGGAUUCAACAUGUGAAAGUUACAUUCGAAAUUACAUUAACUUAUAAUUAACUUACGAUCCACAUCCAUUACUUCUGCUAUGGCGGCCCAGGCUUUUUCCUUUCGACCGUUGUCUUUAUAAAACGGGUGUGUAGUGUCAUAAAGGAUGCUGUGGCUUUCCACCUCCUCGAUGAGCCGCUCUUCAUCCAUGAUGUGGCCAACAAUGCGAGCGCUUGACGGACCGAGCUUGUUUUAUUUUGAAGGAUAACUUGCCACCGCGCUCAGCUUCCUCUCCCGCUCGAGCUUCGCUGGGCUGUUGCGUUCGUGCUCCGCCUGCGACAAAAAUGGAAGCCUUGCGUCUCCACUGCGGAGGCGCUCGGAUCAGCGCUGCUGAGACGGACUGAGGUCGCGCUGGAAACAGGGAAAUCAAACCGUCCCUCCAGUGGGAAAUGGCAUAACAAGAAAGCGUCACUCCUGAAGUCAAACGGUCCCAAAGGGUCAGCCGCAGUCUUUACAGAAAGCACUUCACUUGGCGGAGGGAGACCCCCUUCUGGCGUGGCGCAGCCGCCAGAAGUUUGACGUGACGCUUCGGUUGAAUUGCAAUGCUUUCGAGAGGCCACGAUGUUUCCCCGCACACACGCUCGGAGUGUCCAGCAUGUGAAACGGCUCCGUUCAAACCCAGUAAGGCAAUAAAAAUUCGGACCCUCUCCGCAAGCUGCCGCGCCGCCGCUCUAGACCUACAGCUACAGACCCGGAAGUCCGAGUGGACGUAAACACGCGGUCGCAUAAAUCCUGUGUCAGAAACUGGAUGCCGUUGUUUUCAUGCUUUACAUUGAAUUACGAUUAAAAUAUAUUUGAAGUAUAUUUUUGCGUUGUAAUUUUCUUGGAAAAUGUUUUGUCAGAUUAUUGAUUUAGAUAUGUGUCGAACAUCAUGGUCAUUAUUCCUGUUAGUGUUUUGACAUUAAUAAUAAGGACAAUAAACAUGAUGACAAUAAUAAUAAUAAUUUCAUAAGACUAUGUCCUGAUUAUUACUGGCUCUGUCUUCCCUAACGUCAGACACACACCAAGCUUUCAUGACAUUGUUUUGAAAGGGAACCUGCCUCAGUGUAGAUGUGCAGUGCAGAUAUUUGCUUGUUGCACUUCUAUUCUCCUCUCAAAAGUGUACAACUGAGAAGACAAACUCAUCCAUUCAAUUGCUCCGAACAUCUCAUGCGAGCAAAUGUUUGGACAGUGGAAGCUACUACAUGGGACAUGGGUCCAUUAAAGGACAGAAUCCACACAGAGAGCCGAGGUCUGCAUGUGUGUGUCUGAGGGUCGGUCAUGAAAUGUUGAAU